GCCCGCGCUGCUCGCGACAGGUGGUCCCCAGGAAUUUGCUCCACACACACCCCACACCCCCUGCAUUGCUCUUCAGAUGCUUCUUGCAUACGCGGCCCCCCGCCUUGGCGGGACGGCCUAGAUGGAGGUCCCGCCCCGGCUUUCCCAUGUGCCGCCGCCAUUGUUGCCUUCCGCUCCCGCGCCGUUCGCCUCCCGCAGCCUCUCCCAUUGGCGGCCGCGGCUCGCCCCGCUCCUCCCUUCGCUGGUGGUUAGCGCUGCCCGGCAGGGGGCGCGCCGGUCCCACUGCCACGUCACGGCCCAGCAGCCCUUCCGAUUGGCGGGCGGGGCGGCUAUAAAGCGAGGGCGCAGGCGGCGCCCGGAUCUCUUCCGCCGCCAUUUUAAAUCUCGCUCCGUACGGUGCGCCGCCGCCGCCGCCGCCGCCGCCGCCGCCGCCGCCGCCGCGACUCGGAUCGCGCGCCAGCACCCCUCGGCCUACAGCUCCGCCGCCAUGGAGGACAUGAACAACGAGUACAGCAACGUCGAAGAGUUCGCGGAGGGCUCCAAGAUCAACGCGAGCAAAAACCAGCAGGAUGACGGUAAAAUGUUUAUUGGAGGCUUGAGCUGGGAUACAAGCAAGAAAGAUCUGACUGAAUAUUUGUCUCGAUUUGGGGAAGUUGUAGACUGCACAAUUAAGACAGAUCCAGUCACUGGACGAUCCAGAGGAUUUGGAUUUGUGCUUUUCAAAGACGCUGCUAGUGUUGAUAAGGUUUUGGAACUGAAAGAACACAAGCUGGAUGGCAAAUUGAUAGACCCCAAAAGGGCCAAAGCUUUAAAGGGGAAAGAACCCCCCAAAAAGGUGUUUGUAGGUGGAUUGAGCCCAGAUACUUCAGAAGAACAAAUUAAAGAAUAUUUUGGAGCCUUUGGUGAGAUCGAAAACAUUGAACUUCCUAUGGAUACAAAAACAAAUGAAAGAAGAGGAUUUUGUUUCAUCACAUACACAGAUGAAGAGCCAGUGAAGAAAUUGUUAGAAAGCAGAUACCAUCAGAUUGGUUCUGGGAAGUGUGAAAUCAAAGUUGCACAACCCAAAGAAGUAUACAGGCAACAACAGCAACAACAAAAAGGAGGAAGGGGUGCUGCAGCUGGUGGACGAGGUGGCACCAGGGGUCGAGGCCGAGGUCAGGGCCAAAACUGGAACCAAGGAUUUAAUAACUAUUAUGAUCAAGGAUAUGGAAAUUACAAUAGUGCCUAUGGUGGUGAUCAAAACUAUAGUGGCUAUGGCGGAUAUGAUUAUACUGGGUAUAACUAUGGGAACUAUGGAUAUGGACAGGGAUAUGCAGACUACAGUGGCCAGCAGAGCACUUACGGCAAGGCAUCUCGAGGGGGUGGCAACCACCAAAACAAUUACCAGCCAUACUAAAGGAGGAUGUUGGAAAUGACAGCGGGAACUUCAUUGCAGGCCGUGUGUCACCCUGACCACGUCUAUCUCUGGGGGUCGCACGUUGCGGGCAGAGCGCAAGGCAUACACCAGAAAACGCUGUCCUGUGGAGGAGAUGUGAAAGUAACCCAUCUCACAGGACAACUUUGAAGAUCCAGUCAUCUGUUGAUCUAAGAUGAUUAUUUUGUAAAAGACUUUCUAGUGUACAAGACACAACUGUGUCCGACUGUAUAUAGCUGCCAAUUCAGUUUAUUAUUUUUCCUUUGUCUUUUGCUAUCUGUGUUAUGACUCGUGAAUUUGUGUUGAUACAAAUUUUUAUUUGUAUGAUUUCAUGUUAAACUUCAAAUAAAUGCUUCCUUAAGUGA